rnacentral:tRNA from 1 species
CCCUCUGUGGCGGAAGUGGUAGACGCAGUGGACUCAAAAUCCACCGGUUAACAGCCGUGUCGGUUCGAGUCCGACUAGAGGGACCA